AGUCAUAUGCUUGUCUCAAAGACUAAGCCAUGCAUGUCUAAGUUUAAAUGCUAAACAAUGAAACUGCGAACGGCUCAUUAAAACAGUUAUAGUUUAUUUGGUAAUCGAAUUUACAUGGAUAACCGUGGUAAUUCUAGAGCUAAUACAUGCAGGUGAGCCCUACUUUGCGGUGCGGGCUGUAUUUAUUAGAUAACAGACCAAUAUUCCUCGUGACUAUUGUGGUGACUCAUAGUAACUGAUCGGAUCGCAUGGGCUUGCCCGCGACAAACCAUUCAAGUUUCUGCCCCAUCAGCUUUCGAUGGUAGUGUAUUGGACUACCAUGGCUUUUACGGGUAACGGAGGAUUAGGGUUCGAUUCCGGAGAGGGAGCCUGAGAAACGGCUACCACAUCUAAGGAGGGCAGCAGGCGCGUAAAUUACCCAAUACUGACUCAGUGAGGUAGUGACAAGAAAUAACGGGCCGGGGAUUUCCCCGGGACUGAAAUGAGUUUAAUUUAAACCCCUUUUCGAGGAUCCAU
rnacentral:rRNA from 1 species